UGACAAACGUGGGCGGCGUGCAGCAGAACAUCAAUAUUAAUCUCUCUAACUUUGUGGACAGCGGAGUUAGCAGUCAGACUAGCAAGGGAGUCUCCAGCGCCCAGAAACAGGUUCGCGCCGAUCCCCUCGUCCGUGGCAUCCUGAAAAAUACUUCUCAGAGCACGUGGUCCGGCCCGCCUGACAUCUUCCAAGGGAUUUUAUAAGGAGGCAGAAGAAGUAUGGAACAGAAGACGAUGAGAGAGAGAGAGAGAGAGAGAGAGAGAGAGAGAGAGA